rnacentral:rRNA from 1 species
UUCCCUUCGGGGACAUUGGUGACAGGUGGUGCAUGGUUGUCGUCAGCUCGUGUCGUGAGAUGUUGGGUUAAGUCCCGCAACGAGCGCAACCCUUGUCUUUAGUUGCCAUCAUUAAGUUGGGCACUCUAGAGAGACUGCCAGGGAUAACCUGGAGGAAGGUGGGGAUGACGUCAAAUCAUCAUGCCCCUUAUGCUUAGGGCUACACACGUGCUACAAUGGGUAGUACAGAGGGUUGCCAAGCCGUAAGGUGGAGCUAAUCCCUUAAAGCUACUCUCAGUUCGGAUUGUAGGCUGAAACUCGCCUACAUGAAGCUGGAGUUACUAGUAAUCGCAGAUCAGAAUGCUGCGGUGAAUGCGUUCCCGGGUCUUGUACACACCGCCCGUCACACCACGUUGGAGACGCCCGAAGCCGAUUAUCUAACAUUUUGGAAGAAGUCGUCGAAGGUGGAAUCAAUAACUGGGGUGAAGUCGUAACAAGGUAGCCGUAUCUGAAGGUGCUGCUGGAU